rnacentral:rRNA from 1 species
GACGAACGCUGGCGGCGUGCCUAAUACAUGCAAGUAGAACGCUGAAGGAGGAGCUUGCUUCUCCGGAUGAGUUGCGAACGGGUGAGUAACGCGUAGGUAACCUGCCUGGUAGCGGGGGAUAACUAUUGGAAACGAUAGCUAAUACCGCAUAAUAGUAGAUGUUGCAUGACAUUUGCUUAAAAGGUGCAAUUGCAUCACUACCAGAUGGACCUGCGUUGUAUUAGCUAGUUGGUGGGGUAACGGCUCACCAAGGCGACGAUACAUAGCCGACCUGAGAGGGUGAUCGGCCACACUGGGACUGAGACACGGCCCAGACUCCUACGGGAGGCAGCAGUAGGGAAUCUUCGGCAAUGGACGGAAGUCUGACCGAGCAACGCCGCGUGAGUGAAGAAGGUUUUCGGAUCGUAAAGCUCUGUUGUAAGAGAAGAACGAGUGUGAGAGUGGAAAGUUCACACUGUGACGGUAUCUUACCAGAAAGGGACGGCUAACUACGUGCCAGCAGCCGCGGUAAUACGUAGGUCCCGAGCGUUGUCCGGAUUUAUUGGGCGUAAAGCGAGCGCAGGCGGUUAGAUAAGUCUGAAGUUAAAGGCUGUGGCUUAACCAUAGUACGCUUUGGAAACUGUUUAACUUGAGUGCAAGAGGGGAGAGUGGAAUUCCAUGUGUAGCGGUGAAAUGCGUAGAUAUAUGGAGGAACACCGGUGGCGAAAGCGGCUCUCUGGCUUGUAACUGACGCUGAGGCUCGAAAGCGUGGGGAGCAAACAGG